rnacentral:rRNA from 1 species
AUGCUUAGGAAUCUGCCUAUUAGUGGGGGACAACAUCUCGAAAGGGAUGCUAAUACCGCAUACGUCCUACGGGAGAAAGCAGGGGAUCACUUGUGACCUUGCGCUAAUAGAUGAGCCUAAGUCGGAUUAGCUAGUUGGUGGGGUAAAGGCCUACCAAGGCGACGAUCUGUAGCGGGUCUGAGAGGAUGAUCCGCCACACUGGGACUGAGACACGGCCCAGACUCCUACGGGAGGCAGCAGUGGGGAAUAUUGGACAAUGGGGGGAACCCUGAUCCAGCCAUGCCGCGUGUGUGAAGAAGGCCUUAUGGUUGUAAAGCACUUUAAGCGAGGAGGAGGCUCUUUUGGUUAAUACCCAAGAUGAGUGGACGUUACUCGCAGAAUAAGCACCGGCUAACUCUGUGCCAGCAGCCGCGGUAAUACAGAGGGUGCAAGCGUUAAUCGGAUUUACUGGGCGUAAAGCGCGCGUAGGCGGCCAAUUAAGUCAAAUGUGAAAUCCCCGAGCUUAACUUGGGAAUUGCAUUCGAUACUGGUUGGCUAGAGUGUGGGAGAGGAUGGUAGAAUUCCAGGUGUAGCGGUGAAAUGCGUAGAGAUCUGGAGGAAUACCGAUGGCGAAGGCAGCCAUCUGGCCUAACACUGACGCUGAGGUGCGAAAGCAUGGGGAGCAAACAGGAUUAGAUACCCUGGUAGUCCAUGCCGUAAACGAUGUCUACUAGCCGUUGGGGCCUUUG